rnacentral:rRNA from 1 species
CAGCUCAAAUUUGAAAUCUGGCCCCCAGGGCCCGAGUUGUAAUUUGCAGAGGAUGCUUUUGGCGCGGUGCCUUCCGAGUUCCCUGGAACGGGACGCCAUAGAGGGUGAGAGCCCCGUCUGGUCGGACGCCUAGCCUGUGUAAAGCUCCUUCGACGAGUCGAGUAGUUUGGGAAUGCUGCUCUAAAUGGGAGGUAUAUGUCUUCUAAAGCUAAAUACCGGCCAGAGACCGAUAGCGCACAAGUAGAGUGAUCGAAAGAUGAAAAGCACUUUGAAAAGAGGGUUAAAUAGUACGUGAAAUUGUUGAAAGGGAAGCGCUUGUGACCAGACUUGGGCCCGGUGGAUCAUCCAGCGUUCUCGCUGGUGCACUCCGCCGGGUUCAGGCCAGCAUCAGUUCGCCGCGGGGGAAAAAGGCUUCGGGAACGUGGCUCCUACGGGAGUGUUAUAGCCCGUUGCAUAAUACCCUGGGGCGGACUGAGGUUCGCGCUCCGCAAGGAUGCUGGCGUAAUGGUCAUCAGCGACCC